CUGACUCAUACACUGUUCGCUUUCCAGACAUUUGUACAUUACUGCAUAUGCUUUAUACGCACUUUUUGACAAGUUGUGGUGCACCUGAGCACUGUAUACAAUAAUUUCAUUAUAUAUUAUAUUCUGGGCAUGACUACUUCCCAGAUGGAAGAAGAGUUUUAGUUCUUGUUUUUUAAGUCUUUUGUCUUUGCUAAGUUUACCUUUAUAUCACUUAUUUUAGACCUGUGUAACAGACAGAUGUGAGCAUACAUCGGGGUUACCCUGUGUAGUGGUAAAUGGAAAUUGUAGCUCACCGUAGUUAGUUGAAGGCAGGAUGAAACAGCUUAAUAACAACAUGAGAGAGGAAAGGAAUAAUAUUCACAAAUUUAUUUGCUAGCAGUGGUUUGUAAAAUCUACAUAGUAGUAAUUGACAAUAGUAACGAUGUGCUGGUGGAUACUGGGAAGUUGGUAGUGUGUAAGCUGUGCAUUCUGCUGAGAGAGAGGAAGACAGGGUGAAGAUUACAUUGUCCUUUUCUAUUCGGCCAAUGUUAUUGUUCUUGGUUAAUGACUGACAUGAAUAGAGAUGUGUGUUCUCUAUUAGCUGAUUGAACCAAAGAGGGCGAGAGAGAGAGAGGGAUGAUCUCAGUUAUAUAGGGUGUCAGAUGUUUCUCAUUGAUCUCUAAGCAUGGAGAUAAAACACAAUGGAAUCAGGCAGUCAUCUGAUAAGCAACAAGUGUGUUGAUUCUGUUUUGAAUCUCAGUUAGGUAAGUCUGAGCAAGCCCCUACAUCUGUUUCCACAAUUUGAACUUUUCUUCUAAUUCCUUAACUGGUGUCACAGACAGUCUGACUUAAACUUCUCAAGAAGAUUAUAAUGAACUGGGGAGAGCUGAGGACUGAACCCUGAUAAACACUUAAAAUCCUCACUGAACUUCUUGCUUAAUUUCACACCUGUAUAUGGCUUCCACAAGCCAUUUACCUACACUUAAUUUCCUUAAUGAUGAUCAGAUUACAGGAUAUAAGUACUCUGUCAAAUAUGUUAUCCAAAUCCUCAAAUGCUUGUUGUUUGCUCUUAGCUAAGAAUGUCUUGUAGUUGUCUCAUUAAGAAGAUGGCAUCAAUGGUUUCUCUUCCUGGUACAAACAUGAACUGUUUCUUACUUUAAUUAAUUCACUCCCUGUGCUAGAAUGUUCGUUCUACAUCAAGCCAAUGCCUCUGAAACUACUUCUUUGCUUCAUAGCAGUUGAUGCUAUACCAGUCAUUGUGGAUAAACCUCCCUUGCACUACUUGAUUGCCCAGGUAAGGGACUGCUAUGUACUCAACUUCACCAGAUAUUUUCAACGUCUUGGCAAAUGUCCCCGAUGAUCCCCUACUGCUUACCUUUCCAUCAUAUCUUAAAUGGCCAUUUGAAUCACACAGCAAUUAACCUUGAUACCUAUUACCAUCUGUUAAAUCUAUUGGUGAUAAUCCUUUCCUCUCGUACACAUUCUCCUCAUUCAGGAACCAAUUGUUGUUGCAUUUUCAAUUUUCUCUUUUUCUUGGUCCCAGGAAGAGUAAGUGUGCCACUAUCAUUAUGGACACAUUUUUUCACCAACAACUUCUUGGUAUACACUAACACACUGUCUUGCAUGCCUAUACUCCUCUGGCACAGAACAUUGGCAAAUGUCUUACGUUGAGCUUCUUGCUAGAAAUACUUGGCAUCAAGUUACUUGAUAUAAUUUGUUCCAUACUUGCCAGCCUU